rnacentral:rRNA from 1 species
AUAUUGGACAAUGGGGGCAACCCUGAUCCAGCCAUGCCGCGUGUGUGAAGAAGGUCUUCGGAUUGUAAAGCACUUUAAGUUGGGAGGCAGGGCUUUAGGCUAAUACCCUGAAGUUUUGACGUUACCAAUAGAAUAAGCACCGGCUAACUCUGUCCCAGCACCCGCGGUAAUACAGAGGGUGAAAGCGUUAAUCGGAAUUACUGGGCGUAAAGCGCGCGUAGGUGGUUCAGUAAGAUGGGUGUGAAAUCCCCGGGCUUAACCUGGGAUGCGCUUUCAUAACUGCUGAGCUAGAGUACGGUAGAGGGUAGUGAGAUUUCCUGUGUAGGGGUGAAAUGCGUAGAUAUAGGAAGAAACAACAGUGGCAAAGGCGACUACCUGGACUGAUACAGACACUGCGGUGCGAAAGCGUGGGGAGCAAACA